ACGGAGGGGGUUAGCGUUGUUCGGAAUUACUGGGCGUAAAGCGCACGUAGGCGGACUUUUAAGUUAGAGGUGAAAUCCCAGGGCUCAACCCUGGAACUGCCUUUAAUACUGGAAGUCUUGAGUUCGAGAGAGGUAAGUGGAAUUCCAAGUGUAGAGGUGAAAUUCGUAGAUAUUUGGAGGAACACCAGUGGCGAAGGCGGCUUACUGGCUCGAUACUGACGCUGAGGUGCGAAAGCGUGGGGAGCAAACAGG
rnacentral:rRNA from 1 species